UACGUAGGUGGCAAGCGAUACUCGGAAUCACUAGGCGUAAAGCGCAGGUAGGCGGUUUGAUAAGUCUCUUGUGAAAGCUCCCGGCUCAACUGGGAGAGGUCAAGGGAAACUGUCAGGCUAGAGUGUGGCAGAGGAAGCUAGAAUUCCCGGUGUAGCGGUGAAAUGCGUAGAUAUCGGGAGGAAUACCUAUGGCGAAAGCAGGCUUCUGGGCCGUCACUGACGCUGAUCUGCGAAAGCUAGGGGGAGCAAACAGA
rnacentral:rRNA from 1 species